rnacentral:rRNA from 1 species
AACGUAGGAGACAAACGUUAUCCGGAGUUACUGGGCGUAAAGGGCGUGUAGGCGGUCUGAUAAGUUCGGCGUGAAAUUUCCCGGCUUAACCGGGGGAUGUCGUUGGAGACUGUGGGGCUAGAGGGUGAUAGAGGGGUGUGGAAUUCCGGGUGUAGGGGUGAAAUGCGUAGAUAUCGGGAGGAACACCUGUGGCG